UCCUACGGGAGGCAGCAGUGGGGAAUAUUGGACAAUGGGGGGAACCCUGAACCAGCAACGCCGCGUGAAGGAAGAAGGCCCUCGGGUUGUAAACUUCUGUUUUCAGGGACGAAGAAAGUGACGGUACCUGAAGAGAAAGCUCCGGCUAACUAUGUGCCAGCAGCCGCGGUAAUACGUAGGUGGCAAGCGUUGUCCGGAAUUAUUGGGC
rnacentral:rRNA from 1 species